rnacentral:rRNA from 1 species
CGGUAACAGGAAAGCAGCUUGCUGCUUYGCUGACGAGUGGCGGACGGGUGAGUAAUGUCUGGGAAACUGCCUGAUGGAGGGGGAUAACUACUGGAAACGGUAGCUAAUACCGCAUAACGUCGCAAGACCAAAGAGGGGGACCUUCGGGCCUCUUGCCAUCGGAUGUGCCCAGAUGGGAUUAGCUAGUAGGUGGGGUAACGGCUCACCUAGGCGACGAUCCCUAGCUGGUCUGAGAGGAUGACCAGCCACACUGGAACUGAGACACGGUCCAGACUCCUACGGGAGGCAGCAGUGGGGAAUAUUGCACAAUGGGCGCAAGCCUGAUGCAGCCAUGCCGCGUGUAUGAAGAAGGCCUUCGGGUUGUAAAGUACUUUCAGCGGGGAGGAAGGGAGUAAAGUUAAUACCUUUGCUCAUUGACGUUACCCGCAGAAGAAGCACCGGCUAACUCCGUGCCAGCAGCCGCGGUAAUACGGAGGGUGCAAGCGUUAAUCGGAAUUACUGGGCGUAAAGCGCACGCAGGCGGUUUGUUAAGUCAGAUGUGAAAUCCCCGGGCUCAACCUGGGAACUGCAUCUGAUACUGGCAAG